rnacentral:rRNA from 2 species
AGCGGCGGACGGGUGAGUAAUACCUAGGAAUCUGCCUGGUAGUGGGGGACAACGUUUCGAAAGGAACGCUAAUACCGCAUACGUCCUACGGGAGAAAGCAGGGGACCUUCGGGCCUUGCGCUAUCAGAUGAGCCUAGGUCGGAUUAGCUAGUUGGUGAGGUAAUGGCUCACCAAGGCGACGAUCCGUAACUGGUCUGAGAGGAUGAUCAGUCACACUGGAACUGAGACACGGUCCAGACUCCUACGGGAGGCAGCAGUGGGGAAUAUUGGACAAUGGGCGAAAGCCUGAUCCAGCCAUGCCGCGUGUGUGAAGAAGGUCUUCGGAUUGUAAAGCACUUUAAGUUGGGAGGAAGGGUACUUACCUAAUACGUGAGUAUUUUGACGUUACCGACAGAAUAAGCACCGGCUAACUCUGUGCCAGCAGCCGCGGUAAUACAGAGGGUGCAAGCGUUAAUCGGAAUUACUGGGCGUAAAGCGCGCGUAGGUGGUUUGUUAAGUUGAAUGUGAAAUCCCCGGGCUCAACCUGGGAACUGCAUCCAAAACUGGCAAGCUAGAGUAGGGCAGAGGGUGGUGGAAUUUCCUGUGUAGCGGUGAAAUGCGUAGAUAUAGGAAGGAACACCAGUGGCGAAGGCGACCACCUGGGCUCAUACUGACACUGAG